rnacentral:lncRNA from 1 species
ACUAAAAAUUUAACAUUCAGAUUGCCAGUUAAAAUCAAUGAUUCAUUCAUUAAUUAUUGAGAUUUAAAUCUAUUGUAGGAAUUAUUUGGAUUAUUUAAGAUUUGGUUAGGAUAUAUUUAAGGUUUGAUUAGGAUUUGGUUAAGGUUUGUUUAGAUUUUUUUAGAGUUUGGUUAGGAUUUGGUUAGGAUUUGACUAGGAUUUGGUUAGAUUUUUUUUUAGGAUUUAAUUAGGAUUUGAUUAGCAUUUGUUUAGGAUUUGAUUAGAAUUUGGUUAGGAUUUAUUUAGGAUUUGAUUAGGAUUUAUUUAGAGUUUUAUUAGAAUUUAGUUAGGAUUUGUUAGGAUUUGACUAUGACUUAUUUAGAAUUUAGUUAAGAUUUGUUAGGAUUUGACUAGGACUUAUUUAAAAUUUAGUUAGGAUUUAUUUAGGAUUUGAACAAGAUUUGUUUAGGAUUUGAUUAGAAUUUGGUUAGAAUUUGGUUAGGAUUUAUUUAGGAUUUGAUUAGGAUUUAUUUAGAGUUUGAUUAGAAUUUAGUUAAGAUUUGAUUAGAACUUAUUUAGAAUUUAGUUAGGAUUUGUUAGGAUUUGACUAGGACUUAUUUAGAAUUUAGUUAGGAUUUAUUUAGGAUUUGAAUAAGAUUUGUUUAGGAUUUGAUUAGAAUUUGGUUUAGGUUUAUUUAGGAUUUCUUUAAGAUUUGUUUAGAAUUUGACAAGGAUUUAUUUAGAAUUUGGUUAAGAUUUGACUAGGAUUUAAUUAAGGUAUCUAUUUUAAUAUUUUAUUAUUUUUUCUAUCAUAGUAUAUUUUUGAAUUUCUAUGUUAUUUAUUUAUAAUUUCUUUAAAAGGUCUUUAAGAAU